UAGCCCAUACAAUUUUGAGCAGUCUCUAAGGGCAAGAAUCUAUGCCUACAAGAUUUAGUAUGAAAAUAAAUAUAGAGAGAAAAGAAUUCAAUAAAUUCCCCAGCAGGGGUGGGGGGCUGGGGGGAGUGGAUUCGGGGAAGAAAUGGCAGGCUUGCCUAAUAUGUUCCAGGCCCUAGAUAUGACCCUCAGUCGUGACAACCCUUUACCAGAAUUGCUUACAUACAAGCCAUUCCUGAAUAUGACCCGCCUCCCCUUUCCCACCAGCAGUUAACCUCCAGCACACACGGGGGUCACUGAGUAGCAGCUUUGAAGAGGAAGCCUCUUCAAUUCACUGCACAGUCAGCACAGCUUCUCAAGUUUUCAUCUUUUCCUAAAAGACCAAGUUAUCUUUUCCUCUGAUAAUC
rnacentral:lncRNA from 1 species